rnacentral:sRNA from 1 species
AAUUUAAUAGUUUUAUUCCAUCUUAGAAAUGUACUCGUUUUACUAGUAUGAAUUCAUGAAUAACCAUUCCUUUGAGUGUUCUGCUACUGUUUAUACAUGAAGAAAAUUUUUAAAAGGUGAUCAUGAACAUAUGUAUUGUGUCAUAAAUAUACUGUUAGUAUAUACGUCCAUGAUGACUUCUAUAAGAAAUAUUUUACAUUUGUCCUCUUUUUUUCCUACAUUCUGCCAGAGAUAUAAAUAACAAUGUUAAUUAUGUCUCUGAUUCUGCUUUUAAAAUAAUCGUUUGAAAUAUGUCCUGCAAAAUUUAACAGUUUAAUGAAUGGACAACCAUAUUCAGAAAUGAAGAUUUAUUUCCUUUUAUUUCCAUGGAGUUAGAUUAUUAAACUGAAAUGGAUUGAUUUUUAUGUUCAAUUGAUACAGCAUAUGCCAACCAAAUAAGCUUGUCAUUUUUAACGUUGGGAAAUAUUGUACAUAGAUAUUUACUUAUUUUGAUGCAUUUUAUACUAAUGUAACAUGUCAUUGUGUACCUGUAAAUACAAUUAAACAAUUCAUUUUGUU